AUUAUGCCUCAUAAAGUACUUUCAUAAUAUUCAGAAUUGUAUCGUGCCGUAUAAAAUAUUUUGCAACAGAAACAAGAAAACGUAUUUUGGGAACUAUGCUGAUGCUUAAAAUCCCUCCUGGGAGUGAUAAUAUGUGGUGGAACACACCCAUGGUGUAAACUGUGGGAAUUGUUAGAUGAAUUGUAUAGCUAGCCCUAGCUGUUUAUUUACCCCGUUCUUUGUGGUGUUUUCUUCAUUUUUCUAUACUUUCCUUGGAUACAUACAUGUUGGCCCAUUUUGUUCAAUUGCAAUCCAAAGUACAUUUGCAUCAUGAGGCCGUGUUAGGGUUGGGGUUUCUCCCUAUCCCACAAACAAUGAGUUUACACAGUUGCGCUUAGAAUCCUAUAUGAUCGCAUCAUAUGACCUUCCAUACAAUUUUUCUCUGAAAACAUUUCAGUGGUUUCCAUGUUGAUGGUUUUCAUUUUGUAUUUUCAUCGACUGGGGGUCGAGGGAGUGUUUAUGUCGUUGCUAUAUGAACCAUGGUGUCUUGCGGUACUGCACUUGACUAGAACAAGAAACAAGAGUCAGCCAAUCUGUAAACAGAUUUGGACCCCGCCGAAGAG